GGGGGCGUUCUGGUUUCGACGGAUCGUCUGAGUUCGGGGCUGCAUGCCGAGGAUGAUUCGUGUUCCUCGUAAAAAACCGGGUCAAACAAAUAACAGCAAACUCUAACGAGCUCGCUCUCGCGGCCUAAGCCCCGCGACGUCCUUCAGGUAAUGUCUGGUAGCCUGAACGACGCAACUACCAGGCUGGCCAGUUGAUCGGGUAACCGGGUCGAAGGCAAGAUCCAACAGGUUCCUGGGUGAAGUGGAUGCGGUCAUCAGCAGCCACCCACCGAGAUUAAAGAGAUGACUGAGCAUGGAGACGCUACGGGUGAAGGCAGUUCGGACAGGGGUUCAAUUCCCCUCGCCUCCAAUU
rnacentral:tmRNA from 1 species